rnacentral:RNase_P_RNA from 1 species
GGUGUGGGUCGGACGGCUGCGGGGAGGGAGAAAACUCCUCGAGGAAAGUCCGGACACCACAGGGCAAGGACGGUGGGUAACGCCCACCCGGGGAAACCCGCGGGAAAGUGCCACAGAAAUACACGGCCGAUGGCGCGACCACACGUGAGUCGCGAUCAGGCAAAGGUGAAAAGGUGCGGUAAGAGCGCACCGGCGUCGUGGUGACACGG